UUACUCAAUGGUCAUCGUGCCGCUCUACGACACGUGGGACCAGAUGCCUGUGCAUAUAUCAUUAAUCAGACAUGAGUGUAGUAGUAGUGGAGGACGAUUCCAAGUGUAACCAACUAUUAGAUAGGGCGCCGCGGUGUGUUUAAGGAGACUGAUAGUGAUCAAAGACACGAGACCGGCCACAAACCAACGAGCCAAGAAUCGAGGAAUCGAAGUUCUCAGGUUCGGGAUGUCGAGGACUAGGAGCUUCCAAAUCCUUUGCAGAAGUGCCACCAAAGCCAAACGACCUAUGUACGGUUUGUUACACAUCAGGUACAACAGGCAAUCCGAAAGGAGUGAUGCUAAGCCACGGUAA
rnacentral:lncRNA from 1 species